UACGAAGGGGCUAGCGUUGUCCGGAAUUAUUGGGCGUAAAGAGCUCGUAGGCGGUUUGUCGCGUCUGCUGUGAAAACCUAAGGCUCAACCUUGGGCUUGCAGUGGGUACGGGCAGACUAGAGUUCGGCAGGGGAGACUGGAAUUCCUGGUGUAGCGGUGAAAUGCGCAGAUAUCAGGAGGAACACCGGUGGCGAAGGCGGCAUCCCUGGACCA
rnacentral:rRNA from 1 species